rnacentral:rRNA from 1 species
UACGUAGGCAGCAAGCGUUGUUCGGAGUUACUGGGCGUAAAGCGUGCGUAGGCGGUUAUUUAAGUCUGUUGUGAAAUCCCCGGGCUCAACCUGGGAAUGGCAAUGGAUACUGGAUAGCUAGAGUGUGAUAGAGGAUGGUGGAAUUCCCGGUGUAGCGGUGAAAUGCGUAGAGAUCGGGAGGAACAUCAGUGGCGAAGGCGGCCAUCUGGAUCAACACUGACGCUGAGGCACGAAAGCGUGGGGAGCAAACAGG